CACGGCCUGGCCACAUGUGGUCUCGUCUUCAACUCUGACACUCGGCCAGGAGCUAAGCGAGGGCGCGCACGUUGCCUCGCUGUUCUCUCUACUUUCUAAUUUUAUUUUCUGUCUUUUAUCUACGUUCUCGGUUUCGCGACAACUAAACCUAAAGCCUGAACCGUCUGCAGGUUGUCGAUGAGAGGGCACGUUGGUCCUUAUAUGGCCCCGGAAAUGCGUCGUGGCCUACCGUCAUCGCCAGAGGCCUCGGGCAGCGACGCGGACAGGUGCCGUGUUGAUAAGGCUCGGCGGUCUCUGAAAAAGCUGCGGCAGAAGAGCUGAAUUAAGGAACUAGCGAAGGUCAGAGGCGAGCGAUGGGGAACAGGCAAAAACUGUGCGGGACCUCCGCGAAAAUAAGGCGUUGGCAAGACGGGUGGAGCAGACCUUGGACGAGAUUUUCGGGAAAACGAGAACGUCAACGUCGUUAAAAAAAAGGUCCCGUCAAACGACGGACAGAUCAGCCUCUCGAUGUUGAGCUCUCCGUCUCGGGUGUCUCCGGUGGGCCGCAAUUCUCGCCGCUCUCGCUUGUCUUCUUCGUCGGACGACGGGGGAUAUGUCUCGACGCAUCAGCUCCCGCCCUCGCGUCUAUUUCUCGUCGGGCAACGGGAAGUCAAGGUGCCAAGUCGCGGCGUCGAGGUAAGAAGAGUGGCCGCAAUAAGACCAUUACUGAUUGUGUUUCGGGGAGGGUUAAAAUGGACUGGCCAAACCAUCAUGUUCAUUUCACCGGCAAGGAUAAGGGGGCGAUGGCUGCAAUCGACGCAAAGAGCCAACUCGAGAAGAAACGUCUCAAGGGAUCGCUGAAAGUUAAGCUACAACAUCUUGUAGACUUGAUGUUUGAUGCGUUUAUUAUGACUGGGAAAUUGUGCGUGAAACACAUGCUGCCGUUUUGUACUCUAUUAAGAACGACACAUAAAUUUGGGCAGACAAGGAUACCAUUGACGAAAACAGAGAACACCAUUAUCGCACUCCGGCUGUUGCUUCCCGCGCUUCUGCCACAACACGAGGACCGACCCGCCUCCCACGCGAUCACAACAGGACGCGCUACUGCGAGGCGUACUAGCAUGGGGCCUGCCAGCGAGGCUAGGAACAUUGGCACCAGCGCUGGGGUCAGGUUAAGCACCAUGCCUGUAGCCAGGAUUUUGAAUGGGGGGGUUCGCCCCACUGCUUGAGGGGACCUCUCGCGCCAUAGCCGCGAGGCGAGCGCCGAAGGCGCGAGGUUCCUAGGGGGGUCCGGGGGUAUGCUCCCCGGAAAAUUUGAAAAAUGAACCUUCUAAAAUGGCAUUUUGUGCAUUUUUGAGAGGAUUUCCAAGAAAAAAUCAGAAAUAAAUUUUUAUUCAAUGACAACGGGAGCAGUUUUUCUACGAUUCCAGUCCAUCUUUUCAAGAAACAUCUUGGACCUUUACAUAAAAUGUGGACCAAAAAGUGGACCUUUACAUAAAAUGUGGACCAGAAAGUGGACCUUUACAUAAAAAGUGGACCAAAAAGUGGACCUUUGAGCCUUGUGGGGGGGUUCUUCCGAACCCCCGAACCCCCCUCCGCGUACGGNNNNNNNNNNNNNNNNNNNNUCCUUUAAACAGGUUAAGUAAAAUCUACAACGAUGCGGUAAUCUCAUUUCUUCCCAUGUAAAUCAAUUUACUCUAAUUGCAUUAACAAUUUAGCAACAUCAAUAGUAACAAUAAUUAAAAUAUAAGUAGAUAAAUACGUUGCAUAGAUACCGUAUGAUAAAAAGAUAGGUAGAUAGACAUGACAUGAUAUAUAUGACAUGGCGAUAACGUCAUCCUUUAACAGGUUAUUAAAAUCUAGAAAGAUGCGGUAAUCUAAUUUCUUGCAAUGUAAAUCAAUUUACUCCAAUUGCAUUAACAACUUAGCAACAUCAAUAGUAACAAUAAUUGAAAUAUAUAUAUCAUAUAGGAUACGCAACUAUGAUAUGUAUGAUAAAGAGAUAGACAUUAUAUGGUGUAUAGGUCUUACCUUCAUUACGUAGUUCCAGUCCGUUGCCCUUGUUCUUCUCUAUGCCGAUCAUUCGACCCAGCAGAUUUUUCCCGCUCUCCUUGCCUCCCAGCAAGGUCUCCAGCAUCUUGACCUCGUUCGCAUAGGUUUCAACUCCAUCAUUCCCCCCCUCCCCUACGUUGUCGAGAGGCCCGUUCCCAGAGGACUCGCCCAUCUCAUCCCCAGAGCUCCUGGGCGCCAGGAGGCUCAGCAUGACCCNNNNNNNNNNNNNNNNNNNNCGGGCUUUUCCUUCCGGCGUUAAGCGCACCGGCCGGCCGCGCUCGUGACGGUCGUCAGCCGGGUGCGAUCCGCUCCCAAGACAGUGUCAGGCGAGGAGUUUGACUGGGGCGGUACAUCUGUCAAAGAGUAACACAGGUGUCCUAAGGCGAGCUCAGCGAGGACAAAAACCUCGCGUGGAGCAAAAGGGCAAAAGCUCGCUUGAUUUUGAUUUUCAGUACGAAUACUGACCGUGAAAGCGUGGCCUAUCGAUCCUUUUGACUUUACGAGUUUUAAGUAAGAGGUGUCAGAAAAGUUACCACAGGGAUAACUGGCUUGUGGCGGCCAAGCGUUCAUAGCGACGUCGCUUUUUGAUCCUUCGAUGUCGGCUCUUCCUAUCAUUGUGAAGCAGAAUUCACCAAGCGUUGGAUUGUUCACCCACUAAUAGGGAACGUGAGCUGGGUUUAGACCGUCGUGAGACAGGUUAGUUUUACCCUACUGAUGAAGUGUUGUUGCGAUGGCAAUCCUGCUCAGUACGAGAGGAACCGCAGGUUCAGAAAUUUGGUUCAGGCGCUCGGCUGAUGAGCCAGUGGUGCGAAGCUACCAUCUGAGGGAUUAUGACUGAACGCCUUUAAGUCAGAAUCCCGCACAGAAAGAAACGAUACACGUGGCGCCUCCUUCGGAGUGGCAGGCGUAGGGCUGUUCCGCAGCCCGGCAGAGCCACUUGCGGCGACCAUCCGGGGGCUCCGACUACACCGUCGGACUCCGCGCUCGAUCCGCAGAGCAAUCUCCUCCAGGGCCGAGGCGCUGAAUUCUCUGUAGACGACUUUGAUGCAGCUCGGGGUGUCGUACCUAGUAGAGCAGCCGCUUCCCUGCGAUCUAUUGAAAGUCAUCCCC
rnacentral:rRNA from 1 species